GGGCAUCACGGUCCUACCGACAUGUGAUGUCAUGCCCAGAGGCCCAGCUGUAAAAUUCCUCUCUUUAUACUGCUGCCUUUAUUUCUCAGCCGGCCAACACUUACGGAAAAUAGAACCUACAUUGAAAUUCCUGUUUCCACUCUGGCUGGAAAAGUAUAAUGUUGGUUCGAGAUCAAGAAGGAAUCUGGAUACCAUGUGCCAGACCAGUCAAAGAAUCCUGUGUCAAAACUGGGAGAACGAACAAGCCUUCAUCGCCAUGGCACAUUUAUAUAAAAAGAAAGGGAGAGAUGUUGCGGGAAGUCAGGGACCCCAAACGGAGGGACCGGCUGGAGCUGCGGCAGAGGAACAUAAAUUGUGAAGAUUUCAUUUUAAUAUGGACAUUUAUCAGUUCCCAAAUAAUACUUUUAUAAUUUUUUAUGCCUGUCUUUAAUCUCUUAAUCCUGUUAUCUUUGUAAGCUGAGGAUGUACGUCACCUCAGGACCACUGUGAUAAUUGUGUUAACUGUACAAAUUGAUUGUAAAACAUGUGUGUUUGAACAAUAUGAAAUCAGUGCACCUUGAAAAAGAACAGAAUAACAGCGAUUUUUAGGGAACAAGGGAAGACAACCAUAAGGUCUGACUGCCUGCGGGGUCAGGCAGAAUACAGCCAUAUUUUUCUUCUUGCAGAGAGCCUAUAAAUGGAUGUGCAAAUAGGAGAGGUAUCGCUAAAUUAUUUUCCUAGCAAGGAAUAUUACAUAUUAAGACCCUAGGAAAAGAAUUGCAUUCCUAGGGGGAGGUCUAUAAACGGCCGCUCUGGGAAUGUCUGUCUUAUGCGGUUGAGAUAAGGACUGAGAUACGCCCUGGUCUCCUACAGUACCCUCAGGCUUACUAGAGUGGGAAAAAACUCCGCCCUGGUAAAUUUGUGGUCAGACCAGUUCUCUGCUCUCAAACCCUGUUUUCUGUUGUUUAAGAUGUUUAUCAAGAUAAUACGUGCACCGCUAAACAUAGAACCUUAUCAGUAGUUCUGCUUUUGCCCUUUGCCUUGUGAUCUUUGUUGGACCCUUAUCUGUUGUGGGAAGUCAGGCACCCCGAACAGAGGGACCAGCUGGAGCCGUGGCAGAGGAACAUAAAUUAUGAAGAUUUCGUGGACAUAUAUCAGUUCCUAAAAUUAAUACUUUUAUAAUUUCUUAAGCCUGUCUUUACUGCAAUCUCUGAACAUAAACUGUGAAGAUUUCAUGGACAUUUAUCACUUCCCUAAUAAUACUCUCAUAAUUUCUUAUGCCUGUCUUACUUUAAUCUUUUAAUCCCGUUAUCUUCGUAAGCUGAGGAUGUACAUCACCUCGGGACCCUGUGAUGAUUGCGUUAACUGUACAAACUGAUUGUAAAACAUGUGUGUUUGAACAAUAUGAAAUCAGUGCACCUUAAAAAAGAACAGAAUAACAGCGAUUUUAGGGAACAAUGCAAGACAACCAUAAGGUCUGACUGCCUGCGGGGUCAGGCAGAAUACAGCCAUAUUUUUCUUCUUGCAGAGAGCCUAUAAAUGGACGUGCCAAGUAGGAGAGAUACCACUAAAUUCUUUUCCUAGCAAGUAAUAUUAAAUAUUAAGACCCUAGGAAAAGAAAUGCAUUCCUAGGGGGAGGUCUAUAAACGGCCGCUCUGGGAGUGUCUGUCCUAUGCGGUUGAGAAAAGGACUGAGAUACACUCUGGUCUCCUGCAGUACCCUCAGGCUUACUAGGAUUGGGAAACACCAGCCCUGGUAAAUUUCAGGUCAGACUGGUUCUCUGCUCUCGAACCCUGUUUUCUGUUAAGAUGUUUAUCAAGAUAAUACGUGCACUGCUGAACACAGACCCUUAUCAGGAGUUUCUGAUUUUGCCUUGUCCUGUUUCCUCAGAAGCAUGUGAUCUUUGCUCUGCUUUUUUGCCCCUUAAAGCAUGUAAUCUUUUCCCUGUUCAUACACUCCCUCCCCUUUUGAAAUCCCUAAUAAAAACUUGUUGGUUUUGAGGCUCAGGGGGCAUCAUGGACCUACCAAUAUGUGAUGUCAUCUCCGGCAGCCCAGCUGUAAAAUUCCUCUCUUUGUACUCUUUCUCUUUAUUUCUCAGACCGGCUGA
ensembl:lncRNA novel transcript